CCCGGUGUAGCGGUGAAAUGCGUAGAGAUCGGGAGGAAUACCAGUAGCGAAGGCGGCCUUUCUGGACUGACACUGACACUGAGGUGCGAAAGCGUGGGUAGCAAACAGGAUUAGAUACCCUGGUAGUCCACGCCGUAAACGAUGUCGACCAGCCGUUGGGUGCCUAGCGCACUUUGUGGCGAAGUUAACGCGAUAAGUCGACCGCCUGGGGAGUACGGCCGCAAGGUUAAAACUCAAAUGAAUUGACGGGGGCCCGCACAAGCGGUGGAGCAUGUGGUUUAAUUCGAUGCAACGCGAAGAACCUUACCUACUCUUGACAUCCUGCGAACUUGUGAGAGAUCACUUGGUGCCUUCGGGAGCGCAGAGACAGGUGCUGCAUGGCUGUCGUCAGCUCGUGUUGUGAAAUGUUGGGUUAAGUCCCGUAACGAGCGCAACCCUUGUCCUUAUUUGCCAGCGGGUAAUGCCGGGAACUCUAAGGAGACUGCCGGUGACAAACCGGAGGAAGGUGGGGACGACGUCAAGUCAUCAUGGCCCUUACGAGUAGGGCUACACACGUGCUACAAUGGCCGGUACAAAGGGUUGCGAGCUCGCGAGAGUCAGCUAAUCCCGAAAAGCCGGUCUCAGUCCGGAUCGGAGUCUGCAACUCGACUCCGUGAAGUCGGAAUCGCUAGUAAUCGUGAAUCAGAAUGUCACGGUGAAUACGUUCCCGGGCCUUGUACACACCGCCCGU
rnacentral:rRNA from 1 species